rnacentral:lncRNA from 1 species
CUCAGGUCCGCGCCCUGUGCCCACGGACGACAGCCCUCCUUCCUCCCUGCGCAUAGAGGCAGCCAGCAUUCUGGGCGCCUCUCCAGAUGGACCCAGGGUGACCCAAGCGGACAAACACUUCAGCUCUCAGACCAGACAGGCAUUUCAAAUCCUCAGGCACACGGGAGAGCGAGGCGUGGGCACUGGUGGUCUCAGUCCUCCUGGCCCAAGGGACCAGAAAGCCCCAAAUCCAGGGGCCAAAUGCAACAAAGGGGGCCCUCCAGAACCCAGACCUGGGUCACAGGCCCCGCCAGGCCUCGGGGCAAAGGUCACACAGCAGUCCCUGCACGCCAGGUCCUGGACGUCCAGGGGGUGAGGCACGUGACGUGACUGAGACCAGAGUCAAGGGCAAACUCCCCACCCCUCAGUGGGAGGGCGCCACAAAGUUACAGAGCAGAAGCCUGGACACAGGUCAUGGUGAGGCCUGGGGACACCAACACGAUCUGUCAUGGGGGGGACAGAUAACUCAACUUUAAAGUCAAGGCUGCUGGAUCAUGACAAGGCAUAUCCCAACCCAGUGUGCUCAUCACCUGGAGAUUCUGGACCUGGAGGUGGACGUCGAGACCAGACCGGCUUUAGGAGGCAGAGAAUGUGCUCUGUGGGAGCAGGACGGCUCCGCUCGCACCGAGCCUGGACGUUCAGAGAAGGACCGAGCGCAGGAGGCCCGCCUCGAGCUCCCUCUGCUUCUCCCAGGACACCUUUCAAAACGACUGCUCAGAGUGGAGCCCGAGAAAAGUGAGUGCUCUCUGCCCCAACCACCCUGCACAUAACAGGUGCCCACCGCCCUGCUAUCCGUCUCCUGCGGGCUCAGGACCUGGACAGAGGACUGCCCUUCCCCCAUCUCCCUGCCCCCCAGCUCCUGGAUCUAUGGUGAUAAACCUGUGACCCCACUUCCUUUGUGUGAUGGUCCUGAAAUGGCGCCUUGCGUCAAAAUGACCCUGGGGUUUUCACUUCCCCAGCAGAGUGGGAGCUGGGACGCCCAGGGAGCAACCUGCUAACCCCGUGUGGGUGGCUCGUGCCCCAUCAUUCAGCAGGUCAUCAUCUGCAGAUUCUUAAUUCACUACACCAGCUAUAGUGCCCCCCACACAAGACCCGAUCUCCAAAUACAGCCACAUGGGAGGUUGGGGCUUCAACAUACGUGUUUUGGGGGGACUACUCAGUCUAUAACACUAAAGGAGGUAAAAAUGCCAGAACUCAGGAAAGCAGGAAUGCCAGAUUGGAUAUGAGCUCGGAAGACCAGUGUAUUCGUUUCUUCUCACUGCUGUAAACAUGUGCAAAUUCCUGAAAACUUGGUGGCUUAAAACGGUUUUGUGGUUUCUCACAGUCUGGAGGCCAGAAAAUGAAACUGAAAUCAAGAUGCCUUAGGGCCCUGUUCCCUCCGAAAAGUCUAAGGGAGUGUCCUUUUCCUGGGCUUUUCCAGCUUCUAGAAUGGCAUUCCGUGGAUCAUGGCCUCUUCCUCUGUCUUCAAAGCCAGUCGCCUGGCAUCUUCCAAUCUCCCUCUGCUUCCAUCCUCGCAUGACCUUCUUCUGCCAAAUCCCCCUCUGCCUCCCUUAUGGGCCCUGGUGAUGACAUCGGGCCCACCCGGAGAAACAGGCUAAAUUUCCUCAUUUCAGAAUGCUUCAUCGCAUCUGCAAAGGGAUUAGAACCUGGAUAUCUCUGGGGUCCUUAUUUAGCCGAUCACAGCCAGAAACCCCACCAGCGGGUUGUGCUCUGUGGGAGGCCCUAAAGGAAACUUCAUUUACCAAUGUAACAGGAGUGUUCGGGUGAGGAGAGCACCAGCAUCAGCGAGAAGGCGAGUGGAGGCCGGCCACUGUGGGCCAGGCCGAUGGCAGGGAUGCUCUUUCAGAACUGUACUCCCAGAGCACCUGGGACAAUGGGACCCGAAACAGCAGAAGGCCAGGAGCAGCACCCAAACAUCAGAAGCAAGGAGGGUGCAUUAUCAGAGGCCCAGCAGGGUGGUCUUGGAGCCAGGGGCUCAGUGACCGGCAGAGAGCUGAGAGACCAUCAGUAAAACAUGGCAUUCCUAGGUGAGACCCAUGGGCAGCCAGCAAGGAUACUGCACCAUCUCUAUGAGCAAAAGAAAUUAACAAGGUCUGCUCAGGAGGCUGAGAACGGCCAGCCUAUUACAGGCUGAACCAUGUCCCCCAAAUUCAUAUGUCAGUCUUGACCCCCAGCACCUCAGAUGUGACCGUAUUUGGAGAUGGGGUCUUUAAAGAGGUGAUUAAGGUAAAAUGAGGUCACUAGGGUGGGCCCUAAUCCAGUGUAACUAGCGUCCUUAUACGAAGAGGAUAUGAGGACACAGACACACACAAAGGGACGACCAUGUGAGGACACAGGGAAGAGACGGCGUCUACACGCCAAGGAGAGAGGCCUCAGCGGGAACCAGGCCCACCCACACCUGGAUCUCAGAUGGCCAGCCUCCAGGACUGGGAGACAAUACAUUUUUCCAGUAUGAGCCAUCUUUGUGUAGUGUUUGUCACGGCAGCCCAAGGCAUGGUCCCCUGCCUGAGCUAGUUUUCAGACCCGUAACCACUGACCAAAGGAGGAGUCAGGUCCCCUUAGGAAGGACCCUGAGAUGCCAUGGUGCAUGGAUGUGGUGGACCCCAGCGGCCCUGCCCCACCCCCAAAGCCAUCACCACGACUGGAGAUGUAAUUCAGAACCACAUCGUGGGGAAAGGAGAGCACGCAGGCUCUUCGAGGCUGCUGGACCUGGGCGCCAAGCUGGCACUGACAGCCAGGGAUGGAGGCACCAGUGUGGCCCUGUCAGAGGAGGGCGUAUGGAGGCCAUGGAGGCUUGGUGGCUCACACUGAACCAGGCCACUACUGGGUCCCUGGACCACUGCUUAUUCCCCCCAGACCCCAAAUGUAUACCCGGACCAUCUUAGUGGCUGGCAGAACUCCCCCGUAGGUUGUUGGUCCAGGGGAGCAAAAACCAUCACAGCAGAAGCCUCUGAAACUGCCCCUCCACCAUAGCCAAGACAGGAAAACAAGAAUAAUACACACGCUGGGGAGGAGCAGCGAAUGGUGCCCCUCCGAGAGACCACCAUCGCCCCCAAUUAGUUCACCAGUCCAGCUGCACAAAACGGGAGGAAUGGCGGAGGAUGCUGGCAGACCACUGCGAACUUGUGUCAAGCCGACUGGGCCCUGGGGCGCCCAGACAUUUGGUCAACCGUUAUUCUGGGCAUGUCUGUGUGGGCGUUUCUCAUAGAGAUUAACAUUUGAAAGGAUAGAUAAGGAAGGAACGAGGGCCGAGGCCCGGCCCUCCCUAGUGCGGGCGAGCGUGCUCUCUGCCCAACAGCCUUCCAGCUGGAGCCAGGGUCUCCUCCUGCCUUCAGAGUUGCACCAGACCUUAUACCAUUGGUCUCCCAGUUCUCGAGCCUUCAGACUGCUGAGCUUGGGACUUCUGGGCCUCCAUAAUCACACGAGCCAACUCCUUAUGAUAAAUCCCUUUGUGUAUAUUUAUCCUAUUGGCUGUGUCCCUCUGGAGGACCCUGACCAGUACAUAAGUCAACCGAGCAGUCGCCCAGUGGCAGCUGCUGGGCCAGCUAUGACAUCUUCGCUAGAGCAGAGUGACACAGCGUUGGGUACAUGGUACGUGGCCACCAAUCUCGCGAGUGAGUCCUAUUCCACCCCCAGUAAGAAGGAGCCCUGGAUAUCUCUGGGGGGCCGUUAUCCUGCCCUGCGCCCCUGGGGAAGAGGCACGUGGUAAACCUACGGGAUUGGCCGUGAGGGGCAAGAUCUUGGUACCACGUGUUUGUGUCCUCCAGGAGAGGCAAUAAGCAACCGACAGGUAGAAUGGCCUCUGACACUGGCCUCCCAAAUGCUGGCCCACUGGGCCAAUGAAUGGGGUAGCCUUGGGGACAGACGUGGAGGCUGUCUAUGGGGCCAACAGCAUGGCCUCAUCCACCAAGGCUGAUCCAGCUAGGACCGCAGCCAAAUGUCCAACCUGCCAGUCACAGGCUGCUAUUGAGCCCCAGCUAUGGUGCCACCCUUGAGGGGGGCGUUCAGGUAAACCACUCACUUUGGAGACUUCCCACUGCAAGGGGCAGCUUUGCAUCCUCAGUGGAACUGACACACACACCAGGCUGAUCAUCCCCGACCACAGGAUCUCAGCCCACCCCACUCUAUGAGGACUUAUAAAGUGUUUGACCCACCAACACGGGAUGUGCAUGGCAUCACCCUGGACCAAGGGACCCACUUUAUGACUUGACAGGAGGUGUGGCAGUGGGCCUGUGGCCAUGCAGUUCCCAGCAGAGACCACAGCACUCAGAGGCCGCCAGCCCCCCAGAGCAUGGGAGCUGCCUUUGGAAAGCUCAGCUGAGGCCACCGCUGGGCUGACACCAUUUGAGAAUGGGGCAUCACGUUGCAGGAUGCAGCAUUCACUCUAAACCAACAAGCACCAUGUGGUGCACCAUCCCCAUUGAGUCUUGGAAUGAGGGAUAGAGCGGGGGUGGCCUCACUCACCAUCACUCCUGAUACCGAACCUCUUAAUCUCAAGUUUGUGUGCCCGAUGCACAGGAAACCAGUCACUGAGACGCAGUGCUUGGAGAUGCGGAAAGGUUUAUUUGAAUUGGCCAAAAUGAGAAGGCAGGAGGAUAGGUCCUCCCAAAUCCACCUUAACAAGAGAAGAAAGCAGGGGGUUUUAUAGAGCUAAGGGGCUUGGGAAGAGGCAUUGAAGAGAAACAAAGAGGUAAUCUGUGUUUCUUGCACUCCAGACAAGCCCUUGGGCAACCUGACUUCUGGGGAUCAAGGGCAGCUGGGGGCUGGUUAUCCCUGAUCUGUAACUUAGCCUCAUUGAAUAUUUACAGUAACCCUCAGGUACCCGGCUUCACUCCCAGUGACCCACGUGGGACUUGCGCUUGCUGCCUCUCCACUAGGCUGUGUGGAUCAGAGGAGGACCAUUCCACCAGUGGACACGGCAGGAGUCCCGCUGACCUUUAGGCCAUAGCUCCUGCUUUGUCACUUUGGGUUCUUUGUCCCCAGGGACCCAGAGGCAGGACAAGGAGUCCCCAGACUGUCAGGGAGACUGACAGUGACCAUGAGGAAGUAGGACUGCUGAUCCACAAUGGGGCCUGGGUGGCCCACCGGGGUCUCUUGGUAUCUCCCUGCCCAUUUUACUGGAGAGUGGGCCAGUGCAGCAGCCACAGCCUGAGACAGGAAUGCUGACUAGAGGGUCAUUCCCCCAGCAGGCGAUGCUCACGCAGUGUCCCUCCCUAGGAAAUGCCCCCGCCAAGGGGAGCUGCCCCACCUGAGGUUUUGCCCCCUCCCUGCUGGCAGCCUGGACCCAACGAAUGACCAGAGGACGAAGCAAAAAGGCUGGUUCCUCUGCCUCAAUUCAGGACAUCUCUCAAGGGCCAGAGACGUCCUGAGGUACCAUGCGAAGCCUUCGUCCUCGGGAGCCCGUCAAAGCUCGACAUCCGCCUCUGCCCGCCCUGCUUCCGGGGCUCUCUCACACGCUUGCUCCAAGUCCUCCCCACGAAACCUCUGGCCUGACCUCUCUGUCUCAGAGUGUCUUUCUCAGGAAACCCAAUCGCAGACUCUUUCCAGACAAUGAAUCCUCAGGAGGUGUCCAGGCCUCUAGCUGGGUUGACACCUCUCCACCCCGGGACCUGAGGGUAUUGCUCGUCCCCCAGGCCUAGCGUUUCGUGGUGGGCACUGGCACGCCCACACUGGCUGUUAAAAUGCUAAGCUACUUCCAUACAGACUCAUAAGCAGCCCCUGCCUCGAGCCUCCAGGUGUCCCCACGAGGCCACCCCAGCCAAUCCCCCAGGAUCCAUCCAGGGCACCACAGAGGACUCCUGGAAGGAUGCUCAGCACUGUGGCCAGGCCCUUCUGAUGGGUCAGUACCCCGCAGUGUCACCUGCUAACCAUCUCAUCUCACCUGUGUGAGUCCGCUCGGACGGCCGUAACAAGGCACUGCGGACGGGGCGCAGACAAUAGCAGUUUACUUCUCGCAGUCCUGGAGGCUGGAUGUCCAAGAGGGAGCUGUCAGCAGAGUUGGUUCCUCCCAGGGUUGUGAGGGAGAAUCUGGUCCAGGGAAUUUUGGGGGCUCCUUGGCUUGUAGAGGCAUCACCCCAAUCUCUGCCUCCAUCUUCACAUGACGUUCUCCUUGAGUCUUUCUCUAGUCUCCCUCCGCCUUUCUCUUAUAAGAACACUUGUCAUUGGAUUUAGGGUCCACUCUGAAUGCCAUUUAGGAGAGGCAGGGGCUGUGCUUAGCCAGGGCCCUCUGCUCUAACGGGGACGCACAGCAGCACCCGGCCCCAGUGGGUGACGGGAUCUGACCCCAGAGUGUCCCAAAGGAGAGGGCCGUGGGAGCUGCUGCCCUGCAGCUGAUCGAGCCAGACCCACGUGCCCGACAAGGUCCAAGGUCGGCUGGGGGGCCUCCAACGCAGACCCCACCCCUCCAGGAAGCCUGGCUCACCCACCCCAGGACUCUGGGAAGGAAGCAGGCUGGAGCCAGGACCCAUCCUGGACCCCGUAUAUGCUCCCUGCCCACCCCCGAGACUUGGCCUGCCCCGCUAUCCCAUCCCCCUGGGCAGGCCUGGCCACCUGAGCCUGUGUUUGAGGUCGAAGGUUGCUUGGCUGCACCCAGAUUCAGGGCUCAGCCCAGGUCCAGUGCCCUCAGGUUGGGCACCCAGUGGGAAGUGCCCGCACUGGAUCUGCCACGUCCCCUGCCACCCUCUGCCCUUGCUGGUAGGGGUGGGGAGAGAGUGAGGCCUGAAUGAUGGGGGUACAGGCAGCCGUCGCGGAGCCCCGGCGCACUUUGGGGACGGGGACGAGCAGAGGGGAGGUCGAACCUCGGCGUUCUCUCCGCUGAGGUCCUUUCCUACCCUCCUGGCAGACUCAGGCCCUCUACUUGGGGGGACUCCUUCUCCACCCUCCCCUGCGCCGGUGCCCCCACCUCAGGAAAUGGCCUUUCCACCCCGAUACAGCCAAGCCUGGGAGCCUCCCUCAGCGCCCCCUUCCCGCCUGCCCAUCACCUGGGCUGUCCCCCAAAUAGCCCUGUUGUCACGCUGUGGCUCCAUCUGGCCUCUCCGUCGCCCACCUGGGCCCCUGGAUGACUGCCCCCUCCCCCUCCCCCCCAAUCUGUCUUCAAUGUCACGGCCAAAGGCAUCCAAAUUCCUGAUGAGCAUCGUGCCCUCCUCUGCAGAAGCCUGGAGCCCCACUGCCUGAAGACCCACUGCCCAUGGUCAAAUCCUGGCUCCUGGGUGGAACCUUUGCGACCCCAGGGCCCGUCUCUGCUCCCCUGCGCCCUGCCCCCUCAUCCGCCAAGGUGCUCCCACCUGCCAUCUGAGGGCGUGGCUUUGACAUUUUCUCUCCCGAUUAUGUAGUCAUUUGGAGACCAGAGCCGGCCCUUUGGUGAAGCUGUGACAGGAGGCAGAUCUGACUGCAUUCCUCUUCCUUAAUCUUAAGAACUGAAACCACAUACCACCCCCCCACCCCCACCACGGUUCAGAUACUGAGGACGCCCGCCCCCACGCCACAGCCUGCAGUCUCCAUUGGCAGGACACCCUCCUCGUCCGCAGCCUGUUCGAAGCCUUGGGCUCAUGGGGACCCAUCAACUCUCCAAGGAGAAGCAUCCACGACAGUUAGGUCCCCGACCCCUCCCCUGCUGGGGACCCCUGCAGCCUGGGCGUUACCAGUCCCCAACAAGCUUCCCACUUUUGAAAGACCCACCUUCAACCAAACUUCCUGCUCUCAGUAGCCCCGCCUCGGCCCCCACCUGUGUGGGCACCCCUCCUUCUCCUGUGCAUGGCCCAUUUCUCUUUCAGGUCUCAGCCGGGCAGCCCCCUCCCCACAAGUACGUUCCGGGACCCAAGCGUCCUCUUUGUGGC